CGAACCAGGCCGUGCGUGCAUGAAACCGAACCCAGAACCUAGCCGACCCACGACCAAAACCCAUCAAGAUCGAGACCCACCGAACCUGCUGGAACCCGGAUGACCAGUAAACCAGAACCGGUUCUGCCAUGGCAGCCAUGACCCACGACACCAACUGCAACCCCGGUGAACUCGCACCCAGCAGACCCGUGUUCACCUUGGGCUGAUCUAAGCCACCCCGAUCCAGCAAGAUUUCCGGCAGCUGAUGCUUCCAAAUGGGAUUGGCCCCCUCCUAUGCAAUACCCACCACUCGAACACUAUGAUGAACUGAAAAACGGUACAAAAGAACUGUGAGUAUUCCUUACUCACUCAGAAUGAUCAAGUGGAGCUUUCCAUAAUGUUUUGAUAUCUGUUUUAUUUAAUAGUAUGCAACUUGUUUGGAGCAUAUUGGUUGUAAUAUGACAUGUUUUAGUAUUAAGGCAUAGAGACAGAUAGGAAGCCCUGAGAGGGAUAGACAACCCAGUUGGUGGGUUUGAAGCUCUGAGGGAUAGACAUUCUUAGAUUUAGGAGCGAUAGACAUCCUCGGCUUUGAAGCUCUGAGAGAGAUAGACAACCCAGUUGGUGGGUUUGAGGCUCUGAGAGAGAUAGACAUCCAUGGAUAUAGGAAAGAUACACAUCCUCGGUUUUGAAGCUCUGAGAGAGAUAGACAACCCAGUUGGUGGGUUUGAGGCUCUGAGAGAGAUAGACAUCCAUGGAAUUUUGUGGGAUUUGAGGCCCUGUGAGAGAUAGACAAUCCUAGUAUGUGGGUUUGGUACUCUGAGAGGGAUAGACAACCCAGGACUGAGGCCUUAAGAAAGGACCCUCAGUGAAAAGCCCGUAGAAAGAAUAGAGAUUUCGGAGUUUGAGUCAUUGGCAUAAGUGUUUAUAAUUGUUCUCAUAUUGUUGCACUACACAUUGUUGCAUCGCAUACUUUUAAUUAAAUCAGUAAUCUUAUCAUUAUUGAAAGCAGUUGACUGACCCAUGUAUUUAUAUAUGGGCGGUAUAGCCCAUGUUGCAGGUACGAAAGUGUAUAAAGCUCAAGGAUAGGAGUUUGUUAACAUUACAGGAAUUAGAACUGUUCGAUAAUGUAGUUGAUGAUUGUAGUGAAUUCUUGUAUCAAUUUGAAAUGUAAUACUUUAAUUACGUUUAUCACUCAAUAAAGCUUUGAUGUGUUAUUUAA